rnacentral:rRNA from 1 species
UACGAAGGGGGCUAGCGUUGUUCGGAAUUACUGGGCGUAAAGCGCACGUAGGCGGAUAUUUAAGUCGGGGGUGAAAUCCCGGGGCUCAACCCCGGAACUGCCUUCGAUACUGGGUAUCUUGAGUUCGGAAGAGGUGAGUGGAAUUGCGAGUGUAGAGGUGAAAUUCGUAGAUAUUCGCAGACACCAGUGGCGAAGGCGGCUCACUGGUCCGAUACUGACGCUGAGGU